UACGGGGGGAGCAAGCGUUGUUCGGAUUUACUGGGCGUAAAGGGCGCGUAGGCGGUAGCACAAGUCAGUUGUGAAAUCUCCGGGCUUAACUCGGAAAGGUCAACUGAUACUGUGCGACUAGAGUGCAGAAGGGGCAACUGGAAUUCUCGGUGUAGCGGUGAAAUGCGUAGAUAUCGAGAGGAACACCUGCGGCGAAGGCGGGUUGCUGGGCUGACACUGACGCUGAGGCGCGACAGCGUGGGGAGCAAACAGG
rnacentral:rRNA from 1 species